rnacentral:ncRNA from 1 species
AGAGUAGAGCGCGCGCGUCGGGUUUUCCCGGUAGUGCCGUCGGAUGGGAGGUUGCCGACGGACGAAGUGGCCUUGUCACGCGGUGCGCGCUUGCAGCCGCU